ensembl:lncRNA
GGAACUUGUUGGCCCUUGGGUGGAGCUUGGUUUCAGUGUAGGUAUGAAGGCAUUUGAUGAGCUCCUAUUGCUUAAUGUUCCCUGAAUUCAAGAGUUCUCUAAUGUUUUCAGGCUUUGGAUUUAAGCCUCCUGCUUCUGGUUUUCAGUUUUAUUUUUACAGUAGCCUCUAGACUUCUCCAUCUAUAUAGCACCAAUGAUAAAACAUCUAGGUUAAAGAUGAAAAGUUUCUCGACAUUGAGGGACACUCAGAGAGGGUCACUGGGUUACAUGGAGAAGAGAAGAGGGAGGGGGUAGUUAGAGGUGACUGGAAUGAGAUGCGGUGAGAUCAAAAGAGGAGAGAGCAAACUAGCCAGUAGUCACUUCCUUAUGUGCACUCUAUAGUCUGGACCACUCCGAGGUAUUUACGGAGUUAUACGGGGAAGAAGAGAGGGAGGAAGUAGACAGAGGUGACCAGGAGGAUAAGAGAGAGGAAUGAGAAGGAGAGAGACAAAUCCUGCCAGUAACCAGUUCCUUAGGUGUUCUCCACCAUCUGGAACACACAGAGAUUCACAGAGUUGGAUAGAGAAGAGAUGGGGGAGAAAAGAGACAGAGGCCACCUGGUGGAGAAAAAGGAGAGUCCAAAGGAGGAGAGAGUGGUCAAGCCAGUAAUCUCGCUCUCAGAUGGCGCCAAAUAGUCCCAGAGAUCUUCAAACCUUUACCACCUUGGACACCCUCCCUUCCUCUGCUGCAUUGGUGUUAUAAACCCAGAGAGUGGGCCCCAGCCAUAGAAAUCACUGCCUUUCUAGAAAUUCGAACGUAAUUGGGUGUCCUGUGUUUCAUCUGGGAGCCCUACUGUUAUGGAUGAGAUGAAACAAAGGCCAGUACAGGUCUAGAUCAGAGGUUUAAGCUGAACACAAAGGAUCUGUGUGACUAUCCCAAUUAAAAUGGACAGUGACUACAAACCUGAAGGACUCCCAAAUGCCACUAAGCUGAUGGGCUCUCAGCCAGGAGACACACACUCUCCAGCUGCAGACUCUGUUUCACUGGAGAUUUUGCUGAUCAUCUGAGUCCCUGCAGCUCAUGUCCCAUUGUCUUUGAUCAAGAACCUCAUGAUUCAGUCUUUGCUUCUAUACAUGGUGAAAAGUUC